CAUGAUAUUAGAUUUAAACACUUAAUACAUUUUUAAAUCAAUCACUUUGUCUCUGCACAAUGAACAUUAUCAAAUAUUAUUAAUGUUGUAAAAUAUAUUGUUCAUUGUUAGUUCAUAUUAGCUAAGGCAUUACCAAAUGUUAAGGAAUAAACUCUUAUAGUAAAGUGUUACUAAAUUUUCUUUUACCAUUUCCUUCACAAUGUCUACUUAUUUCUAUGGCUAACAGAUUUUGUAACAUUUGUCUUUUUUACAGUCUUACCAUUGCUUGUAAGCUGGAUUGGGUAAGAUGGAUCAUCUUUAAAGGCACCAGGAGUUAAGGCAGAUGUGGAGGCACAACGUGUGAUACCAGACACACACCAAGCACAUUAUGUUCGGACAUUCAAUCAUGACAUGAUCCAUGUGGAUGCUGUCCAUUGAGGAAAGAGUUUGUUCAGCGGUUUCUGGAUAGAAUUAAUUCCAAAGAUGGGAAAAGUGCACAUCCAGACAAGGAGCAAGCAAAAAGACAAGGAACUUGGUGCAGAGAAAAGCUGUGGCCAUUAACCCCCAUGUGAACAGCUUCAUGCAGUCCCUGAUUGAGUUCGAAUGGACGACUUCAAAGUAAAGGCCACUGUGGUCUGUCUGCCACAGUUUAAUGCAUUUAUUUUUAGUGUUAAAUGAAAUUUAAGUAGAAUAUUUAAAACUAUGGGCCAGUGUUCUUUUUACCACAGUGAAAUGUUACCUUUUAGUCGAUGAUGGACUUUAAACUGAAAACUUCAAACUAUGGAACAGUGUUCUAUUUGCCAGAGUUAAAUAUGUUACAGCAGGGGUCUCCAAACUUGUUUAUACUUGUUGAUUUUAUUUUAUGUUACUUGAUUAUAUGUUUAUUAUUGUUUAAAAUCUUGUUUUAAAUAUGUUUGUUUCAAUUAAAUGUUUUUUUAAAUAAAAUUUUGAUACAUA